AUUGAACGCUGGCGGCAGGCCUAACACAUGCAAGUCGAGCGGAUGAAGGGAGCUUGCUCCUGGAUUCAGCGGCGGACGGGUGAGUAAUGCCUAGGAAUCUGCCUGGUAGUGGGGGAUAACGUCCGGAAACGGGCGCUAAUACCGCAUACGUCCUGAGGGAGAAAGUGGGGGAUCUUCGGACCUCACGCUAUAGAUGAGCCUAGGUCGGAUUAGCUAGUUGGUGGGGUAAAGGCCUACCAAGGCGACGAUCCGUAACUGGUCUGAGAGGAUGAUCAGUCACACUGGAACUGAGACACGGUCCAGACUCCUACGGGAGGCAGCAGUGGGGAAUAUUGGACAAUGGGCGAAAGCCUGAUCCAGCCAUGCCGCGUGUGUGAAGAAGGUCUUCGGAUUGUAAAGCACUUUAAGUUGGGAGGAAGGGCAGUAAGUUAAUACCUUGCUGUUUUGACGUUACCAACAGAAUAAGCACCGGCUAACUUCGUG
rnacentral:rRNA from 1 species